UGACCCUGGUACCUCAGCUAAAGGCAUGCUAUUUGGGGACAAGUUCGUAAAGGACUUAGGCUCUUUCGUCCAGACAUUCACUGCACUGGAUAAGGCCCAGGCUAACAUGAAGAGAGUGUUUAGCCCAAAGGUUUUUGGAGGGGCCGGCAGAGGUCGGGGCCGUCUGGCCGGCCGUUAUCACAGGGGUCCAAACCACGGCUCCCGAGGUCCCAAUACAUCCAGGCAAACCCACCAGGAAUACAGGCCCGCAGCUGCCCCAUUCUUCCCGCAGAGGAGCCGCCCUUGGCAAAAUCGCGGCGCAAGAGGAUCAUACCAAUCCAGACGCCCUUAUGCUUGACAAGUAUACGUCUGCUAAGAGAAUGUUUGAAUAAAGUCUCAUUGGGCUUUUUUGUUCGUGGAUGAUCACGUGGCGGUACUCCGUGUUCCGUUGGAGUUCCUUGAACGAAGAUUCUGCUGCUGGAUCUAUGUUUAUGACUGUUGGAUAUGUUAUCUGAGCCAUGUCAAAGAAAAGAGGAGGAGUUUUGGGAUGUACACUGUGAUAUGGAGAAAGGGAGGAGUUUACUAUUUGUAUUUGUUUUAUUUUCUCUCUUUGCUGCUGAGGGAUUAAAGAAAAGAGUUAUGCAUAA